rnacentral:lncRNA from 1 species
AAACUGCAGAAAUUGAUGGAUUGGCUCACUUUUCAGAGCACUAACAGUUGGACCAACCUCCGUUGUCAAGAGCCUUAAUCCAGCAUUAACAUCUGCGUCAUAACGCUUACCCAUGACUAAACCACUGCAGGAUUAAUGUAGGCUGACCACUGCAGCAGUGUUUAUUAUACAAUCUGCUUGAGCCUUUCAUCAUGUCAAAGAGGAAUUACAGGGUCUGCAUUUCUCUGGUGUAAAUUUCUCUGUAUUCUGAAGAAAGAUAAGUGACUUCAGCCAA